rnacentral:rRNA from 1 species
CCUACGGGUGGCAGCAGUGGGGAAUAUUGCACAAUGGGGGCAACCCUGAUGCAGCGACGCCGCGUGAGCGAUGAAGGCUUUCGGUUUGUAAACCUCUAUCCGCAGGGAAGAAAAUGACGGUGCCUGCCUAAGAAUCCCCGGCUACCUACGUCCCAGCAGCCGCGGUAAUACGUAGGGGGCAAGCGUUAUCCGGAUUUACUGGGUGUAAAGGGAGCGUAGUCGGCAGGGCAAGCCAGAUGUGAAAUACCCGGGCUCAACCCCGGGACUGCAUUUGGAACUGUUGAGCUGGAGUGUCGGAGAGGCAGGCGGAAUUCCUAGUGUAGCGGUGAAAUGCGUAGAUAUUAGGAGGAACACCAGUGGCGAAGGCGGUCUGCUGGACGGUGACUGACGUUGAGGCUCGAAAGCGUGGGGAGCAAACAGGAUUAGAUACCCCGGUAGUC